rnacentral:lncRNA from 1 species
GUAGUUUAUUACUCCAUGCCUCAUGCAGAGAGCAGUGCUGCGAAUUGAUCUGCCAGGCUCUUCACAGUCGUCGGAGAAACUGCAGAUUCUCCACCCAGGUACCACUUCUGAAUCAUCUCGGCCACAUUCUUGUUCUCCACUGUCAGCUUCGCCUCGCCCUUGCCUUCUGUCACAAAUGAUAUCUGCACACAUAUAUGCAUGCUUCAAUUAGGUUUGCAAGAACAAAGAUUUGAUCACUUGAUAUCUUAACCAAACCCAGCUGAAUAUAAGGAGUACUCUACAAGAUUAUACCUCUGCAAUUCCAGGGGUGUUAGGAAAGUGGAAGGUGAGGACGGAGUUGGGCUUGAAAUACUUGGACUGAAAGAAUUCAGUCACCUUCUCCAGAGACUCUUCCUCCUCAUCCUCGUACUUGUCCACUGACACGAGACGGUCGCGCACUGAGCUCUCCAGCUGCACGCCGUACUGUGAUCCUUUGAUCUCCUUGAUCACCACGAUCCUGAAUAGUUUCUCCACAGGAGCUAGCGUACAUGCACAGCAUCAAUCAGCAUGACUCAAAUGAAAAAAUGAAACAUUUUUUUCUUGCAGUUAUGCAGGAGCGGCAGACUGAACCUUACUCUGUUUUAUUUUGUAGGAUAGAACAUUGUUCUAUAAACUCUACAGAGAUAAUACUACUAUUUGUGAUCUGUAACUGGAAAUGGGAGAAUGGUAUUGAUAUACUAUAGACAAGCAAUUCCAAAUCCGUUUUACAUAUUUCUGAAAUGCAAAACCUGAAUGGUGGAGUCAUUUUAGUUACCAG